CACGCACACCUCGGAUUCCACCAUCGUCAGCCUGGGCUUCGAUACCUCUAUUUAAGGGGCAGAUGCUUCACCGUCCUCUCUUCUCUCCUUUCCGCUACCGUCGCCCUCGGCCCCGCAGUGGCUCACCUACCGGAGCCCACCGAUCGUCUCGUCUCGCGGUCUUGCCAGCGCUCGGGGUUCUUGAUGAUGGGGGAUCUGUGACGGGAAAUUUCCGGUUUAAAGAUGACAUUCUUGGUAUUGCGAUUGACAUUGCCGCAUAUGAAAUUUUCGUCUAAGGUUUUGUUCUUGGUCAUCUUUAGUUCUUGAUCUGACAUGCGAUGAGAGACGAGAGAUUCCCCGUUGAAUGAUAAUUGCAGCUGAUAUUGCCAUA